rnacentral:rRNA from 1 species
UACGUAGGGGGCAAGCGUUAUCCGGAAUUAUUGGGCGUAAAGAGUACGUAGGUGGCAACCUAAACGCAGGGUUUAAGGCAAUGGCUCAACCAUUGUUCGCCCUGCGAACUGGGAUGCUUGAGUGCAGGAGAGGAAAGCGGAAUUCCUAGUGUAGCGGUGAAAUGCGUAGAUAUAUGGAAGAACACCAGUGGCGAAAGCGGCUCUCUGGUCUGUAACUGACGCUGAGGUUCGAAAGCGUGGGUAGCAAACAGG